rnacentral:SRP_RNA from 1 species
CCUACCGAACCCCGUCAGGCCCGGAAGGGAGCAGCGGUAGGUAGG